rnacentral:rRNA from 1 species
GGUGAACGCUGGCGGUAUGCCUAACGACAUGCAAGUCGAACGGGCUGUUUUUGCAGCCAGUGGCGGACGGGUGAGUAACACGUAGGUGACCUACCCCAAAGUCUGGGACAACCAGGAGAAAUCCUGGCUAAUCCCGGAUGUGGACACAUCCUGUGGGGUGUGUUUAAAGCUCCGGCGCUUUGGGAUGGGCCUGCGGCGCAUCAGGUAGUUGGUGGGGUAAUGGCCCACCAAGCCGACGACGCGUAGCUGGUCUGAGAGGACGGCCAGCCACAGGGGUACUGAGACACGGACCCCACUCCUACGGGAGGCAGCAGUUAGGAAUCUUUCGCAAUGGGCGAAAGCCUGACGGAGCGAUACCGCUUGAAGGAGGAAGCCCUUCGGGGUGUAAACUUCUGAACUGGGGACGAUAAUGACGGUACCCAGGUAAUAGCACCGGCUAACUCCGUGCCAGCAGCCGCGGUAAUACGGAGGGUGCGAGCGUUACCCGGAUUUACUGGGUGUAAAGGGCGUGUAGGCGGUCUUGCAAGUCCGGUGCUAAAGACCGGGGCUCAACCCCGGGGGUGCGCUGGAUACUGUAAGGCUAGACGGUCGGAGGGGGUAGUGGAAUUUCCGGAGUAGCGGUGAAAUGCGCAGAUACCGGAAGGAACGCCGAUAGCGAAGGCAGCUACCUGGACGACAUGUGACGCUGAGGCGCGAAAGCGUGGGGAGCAAACCGGAUUAGAUACCCGGGUAGUCCACGCCCUAAACGAUGAGUGCUGGGUGUCCGGCAUCCGCCGGGUGCCGAAGCUAACGCGUUAAGCACUCCACCU